rnacentral:rRNA from 1 species
UACAGAGGUCCCGAGCGUUGUUCGGAUUCAUUGGGCGUAAAGGGUGCGUAGGCGGCUUCCUAAGUUUGAUGUGAAAUCCUGGGGCUCAACCCUGGAACUGCAUUGAAUACUGGGAGGCUAGAGUACUGGAGAGGAAACUGGAAUUUACGGUGUAACAGUGAAAUGCGUAGAGAUCGUAAGGAAGACCAGUGGCGAAGGCGAGUUUCUGGACAGUUACUGACGCUGAGGCACGAAGGCCAGGGGAGCAAACGGG